AAGCUGUGUUGUUUAUUUUCUUUGUCUGGUAUUUGAAACAGGAAUAACUGUUCCUUUCAGCUGUUGGAGAAGAUCAAGUGAUAAGCAUGAAUCAUGUGCUGGAUUUAUAAAACAACCUAAGCUGCCUUUUAUUUUCUACUUAUGUAGAUUAAAAACUAGCUCAAAUUUUUUGUUUUAUUGAAAUAUAAUUUUAAUAUAGAGGGAUAAUUUGCAUUAUAGAAUAAUAUUUCACACUAGAGAAAGGUGGAGACCUCUUAGCACUGGUUUUAAUUUGGUCUCUGAAGGCCUGGUUGUGUCCUCUGCGGGCUUCACAGAAGCACUGUGGGUCAGUGUGGCGAGGAGAUGGAUGGGAUCACUCUAUUCUGCUGUGGCUUUACGGUGAUUGUACGCCUGUCAUCCCUCUUUCAGUACAGUCCUCUUGGAUGACCCGGCUGAGUUGGCAUUCCUCAAUACUAGAUAUUAAAAAGAAACGAGGCCUGAUUAUUACAUGAUGUUUUUAUUAUUUUUUAACUUGGAAGCUAUAGCACAUUUUGUUAACAUAAGCCAGACUUUAAAAACAACAAUAAUUUUAUUUAUUUUUUGGGAAUUUCGUAUAAAAGUAUUACCCCCUCAUCUCCCAUACCCACCCUCCCCAUCCUCGUAUCCGUAGCCCCCUACCUGAGUUUUCUUCUCCUCUGACCCGUCACGCCCACUGAGUGCGGCACCCAGAGUUAGGAGCGAGGCCUGCACUGACAUGCACUUGGUCUACAGGGGUCACAUCAUUGGAGAGCUGGCCUCCCUCCCAGUCACCACUGCAAGAGCUCCUCACUGCUGAGAGUUCGUGCCCAGCAUCUCCCCUCUGUGCUGGCUUCUCGGUAGCCUGAGCUUGCACAGGGCUUGGACCUACUCAUGCAUUUAGCUUCAUUGAGAGGUGCCCCAGGGCAGGAAGCCCGCACAUUGUUCUUGCUUCCAGAGUGGUGUCUUAGGUGACUUUCUGCAUGGACUUGUAGGCUGAGCUCUGUGGGUCUCUCAGUCUCAGGAAGCCAGGCUGGUCCUUCCUUGAACAGGAUCGACUGGGUCAUUGAAAUGUCAGCAGCUGUCCCUGAGGUCAGUCUCAGUACUACCUUCAUGCUCACAUCCUCUCCUAGGGGAGAGCAGCACCUCCCUAGCACAUCUCCCAGCUAGAGAAGUGGAUCCAGUCUCUAAGACUCAAUGUCUUCGCUUACUGAUGGGGCCAAGUGUAAUAAAACAAGAUGAAUUCUGGCUCAUCUCUAUGUGCCUUUAAAUCUUAAUAAAAUAGAACUUGUCUUAUUUAAGCUUCUAGCCUUCAUAUACUCUAUUUGAACAGUGCGUAUCAAUUCAUUUUGCCUAUUUUAUAAGAAAUUACUUAGUUUCAAAGAGAAUUUGUGUUUUAAUAUGAUUUAUCAUGACUAAGUUUGGUAAUUGUAAGAAAAACUUUAGAAGAAGUAAGCAGAUCUGAGUUGUUCAAAGUGUUUGUGAGACCUUGAUGACAUCAGGCGAGUAUAGCAGAUGCAGGAGGGGCCCGAGGACUCCACUUGGCUGACUGCUCUGCCUUUAAGGGGUUUAUUUCUCCCUGCUCAGUAGAAAAGAGGCCCGAGACAGGGAAGGGAAUUGGUGGUCAUGGUGACAUGAUGAAGAAAUGCAGACUUUGAACUACCUGGGGACAGUGAGGCAUUUGACUGGUAGAGUAUCUAAGAAGCAAAGCUUCCGAGCCUGAUGUUUGAACACUGGGGCUGGGGAAAGGAGAAGGGAAGGCAGGUGCCAGGUUUCCAGCAGUGAUCGUAGGUAACAUAUUAGAGAUGUUAUGGUAGAGAAUCAGAGGUAGGGUUUCAGUUGUGACCUUUUCAGUUUCAGGGAGAGACUUCCCAGGAAGAAAUACUUAGCUAGUGUUUGAACCACCAGUCUGAGGCUUGUGUAUGAAAUGGAAUUUUCCACUACUCUCCUGGGAAUGUUAAUGGAUACAGGACUUUUAGGGCAACGUAUCAGCAUGGUCAUUCCUGCCAAGAGCAGCUUGGAAACAACAAAUCACCUUGCAGAGGGAAGGUCUUUAUUCCACCCCUUGAAAUACAUUGAAAUCAGAUGGCAGGAAAGUGCUUCCUAGACAAGCGGAUAAACUAUUUUAAUGGUCUUAAGAGUAUAUUCUGGUCUUCCUCAAAGGACCACUAGCCUCAUGAUCUCUGACAUCUCAGACACACACCUUUACUUUGUAGGUGAUCUUUCUACUGUUACCCUGACUCUAGCCUUUGACCUGUCCAUCAUAUUGUAAGUAAGGAGCGGUGGCAGAUGUUAGUAGAUCUGAUGCUCUCGUUUGCUGUAGGUGCACCUUACAUUUUUCCUGUCCCCUUACCCACCAGGUCAGUGUCUUCCUCAAGCCCUGGAGCGUUGGAAUUGGCACAGAUCAAAUUUAUGUAUCAGCAAACUUAAAAAUUACUGUGUGUAAUGGAUUUUGGGAUCAUUUAUGAAUAAUUGAAACCAAGAAUGUUAAAUUCUUGAAUGCCAAGGAUGCUAUAUAUUAAUAUUGCAUGGAGUUCCAUAAAGAACAUUAUGAUUUCCAA